ensembl:lncRNA
UUGAUGUACUGUACAGGACAAUAUUUUUCAUAACACUUUUUAUCAUAGUGUCCACAGUUGUUUUGUACAUUGAUUGUUUAUUUUUUUGCAAUAAUGAUCAGUUUACUGUACAUCAUCCCUUAUGUAAAUGUACUGAAUUCUUGAAUUUUGUAUACAGUACUUGUCAUGUGGCUUACCUUACUACUGCAGGAUAAAAAGCUUGAAAGGGAGAGUGUAUGGAGUGUCAGGGGCCAGCAGGGGUGUGGGGAUGGAGGACACCAGGCAGGGGGGUGAUGUUGGUUCGUUCCGGGUGAGAUGACUUCACAAAGGCUGUCUGCCCUUUUAUUUUGCAGGAAUUCUGAAGAUCCAAUUGAAAAUGCACUGCUGUGUCUGUUUUCCUUCUGAUUGUUUUGGACUGCAGAUAGCCGAAUGGAAUGAAGGAGAGAGAGAAACAGUGGAAAAGAAGGAAGAGGUGUGUCGAGGGUCUGAGCAGCGAUGGGAGGCAGGUAGAGCCGGAGGGAAGGAGAAGUCUGAUGGAGACAGAGGGAUGAAAGGAUGAGUGAAAUCCCGUUGCGGAGGCAGGUCGACAACUGACCAAGGCGGAGCUGAUGGGACAAGGGAGCCCAGUGGAGAAAGGGAGAAAGGAACCAAGGCAGAGCUGACACGUUGGAGGUCCAUGAUGGAGUCUGGGACUCAGAGGCUUAUGGUUACACCAAAAAAAUAACUACUGUCUGGGUCUGAUCUUCUGUUGCACGAUUGUGCUGGAUAUAAAGCACACAACACAGGGAAGUACAAAACAGUCUUUAAAUAAUAAUAAAUCCAGAGGGAACAAACUCA